UUGUCCUCCCAAAGUCCUGGGAUUACAGGCGUGAGCCACCGCGCCCGGCCUUAAUCCAGUUUUAUAGUCUUACCUGGAGUAACUUAAACGUCAUCCUUACUUCUCUUACUCCUGAAAAAUGCUUAAUAUGCAUUUUAUCACUCAAUCAGCCCCUGACAUGACAAAAAAGCUACAGAAAUUAGAAUCUGGCCCUCAAACCCCUCAACAGGAAUUAAUCAACUUUGUCUUCAAGGUGUUCAAUAAUAGGGAAGAAGCUGCCGGGAGGCAGUGCAUCUCAGAACUACAGAUGCUUGCCUCUGCUGUAAGACACAUCCCAGCCACACCACUGGUUCACAAAUACUUCAAAAUGCCCAGGCUGCAGCGUCCAGCUGCCCCUCCCAGACCUUUCUUCAAGUGUUGGAAACCUGGCCACUGGGCCAAGGAACACCCGCAGCCCAGGAUUUCUCCUAAGCCCUGCACCAUCUGUGCGGGGGGCCCCACGGAAAGUUGGACUGUCUGACUCAUGUGGCUGCUCCCAGAGCUCCUGGGACUGAAUCCUUCCCAGAUCUCCUCGGCUUGCCAGCUAAAGACUGACGCUGCCCGAGCAUCUCAGAGGCCCCCUGGACCAUCACACAGACGCCAAGCUUCGGGUAACUCUUACAGUGGAGGGUAAGUCCAAUCCUUUCUUAGUCAACAUGGGGGCCACCCACUCCACGCUGCCUUUCUUUCAAGGACCAGUCUCCUUGGACUCCAUAACUGCUGUGGGAAUUGACAGCAAGGUUUUCAGGCCUCUCAAAGCUCCCCAAGUCUGGUGUCAACUAGGCCAGCACUCCUUUCCACAUUCUUUCCUAAUCAUCCCCACUUGUUCAGUUCCCCUGUUAGGCCAAGAUAUCCUAACAAAAUUGUCUGCCUCCUAACUGUUCCUGGGCUACAGCCAUACCUCAUUGCUGCCCUCCUCCCCGAACCCAUACCUCCUUCAAUAGCUCCCCUAUGUCCUCUUACCUUAACCCUGGGGUGUGGAACACCACCUCCGCACCCCUUGCUACGAGUCAGUCAUCCCUCAUCAUCCCCCUGAAACCUAACCACCCUUAUCCCAUUCAGCACCAGUACCCUAUCCCAGCACAAGCCUUGAAAGGCCUAACGCCUGUUACUAUUCGCUUACUACAACAUGGCCUUUUAGUUCCCACUAACUAUCCCUACAACACCCCCAUCCUACCUGUCCAACAACCGGACAAGUCCUACAGGCUAGUCCCAGACCUUUGCCUUAUUAAUCAGAUAAUGCUCCCUAUCCAUCCUGUAGUGCCAAACCCCUAUACUCUCCCCAACUUCUCUGAAACUUACCCGAAUUCCUGAGGAAACUUAAAUGCCCUCCUCCUGUCUAUCUUGCCACUUCUCCCUCUUCCUCCAUUCUGUGUGCCAAGACAUUUCCUGAUUCCACUCCCAGGCUGCCACCCUUAACGCUCUUCUAAAGUGAAUAAAUAACCUUCCUUCCCAAGGUACCCUGUGUAACUUCUCCCCCAAUAAAGUAUAACUGUUUACUUUCCUCCUCAUUCUUUGUCUGCCUAUUCCUCCUGCUCCCAUGGCUGCUCCACAUAAUUGCACCUCCCCUUCCUAUUAUUCCCCACUAUCUCUACAAAACCCUUAACCGAUUCUUUGCUAAACCAAUCCAACCCAACCCUAGCAAAAGGUUGCUGGCUUUGCAUCUCUCUAUCAGCUACAACUUAUACUUCCACUCCCGUCCCUGCAAAGUCUUAGGUUCUUACUUGCCUAACCUAUCUCCCUCCCUAUGAAGGAAAAAGCCCCUUCAACUUUUAAAUAUGCAGUCACUAGCCGAGUUCUCCAUCAGUAACAUGACCAAACAUACCCUGACAGGACGCGCAGUACAGCUUCUGCGCUCCUACAUUUCCACCCUCACUCCAUAUACUGGUAAAAAACCCAUACAUGGUUCUGUGACCACAAAUACUGAUUUAACUUUUCAGGCUCCUUUAUGCUUCCAAUGCAAUCUAUCCUCAGGCUUACCUCUUGGCCACCUACUACCGCAUCAAUGCAACUUUACCUUAUCACUCCAAGCCCCAACCAUCAAAACUUUCUAGUCACUCAAACUGCUUCAUUUAGCUCACCUGUUUGCUUUACAGAACUCCCAAAAGUCAGUACCACCUCUGUGCUUAACAGACAGUCAGGGUUUUGUGUUGGCAGACAUACCCCUUGCAUGACUAUUCGCCCCUGGACCCAUUGUAACACAGCUCCCACAACCAAUGAAUGCCUUCUUAUACCCAUUUUUAAUCACUCCUCUGAAUGGCUCCUAGUAGAUACAAAAUGGUAACUCCUCCGGUGGAAAAACAAAACAAAUGGAGCCAUUCACAUUACCCCAACAGCCACUUUCCAGCCACUCACUGGACCCUAAGCGUAUAGGAACAUGAAAAUAAUAAACUCACACACCUCUUCAAUAUACACAACCAGUUCUGCUCACCCAGCCAAGGAAUAUUUUUCUUGUUCGGAACCUCAACUUACCUCUACCACCCUAAUAACUGGACCGGCACCUGCACCCUACUCUUUCUAAGCCCCAAAACAGACAUUGCCCCAGGGAACCAAAGUUUACCAGUCCCCGUUAAAGCCCAGGUCUGUCAGCGCAGAGCUGUGCAGCUAAUACCUCUGCUAAUAGGACUAGGAAUUGCCGCUGCUACAGGGACAGGAAUAGCAGGGCUGUCCACAUUACAUACCAUCAGCCUAACCCAUUCUCUCCUAUUUCAAACCCUUCCUUAGCCAGAGAUUGCUGGCUAUGCAUUUCCCUCUCCUCUUCCUCUUACACAGCCGUCCCCACACUAUCAGCUGACUGGGCAAACUCUCCCAUCUUUUUACACCUCUGGACUUCCUUCAACAACCCCCCUGUAUCCCCCAGAAAACUCCUCUACUUCCUAGAAAGAUUCAACAAAACACCCCAGAUACCUCAUGCCAAUAGGCUGCUGCUCUUCUUCGCACCUACCUAUAUAAUCUUUCCCCUUGUGUCAACUCCACACCCCCUGUUUUUGGACCACUAACCACACAAACAACUAUCCCUAUUGCUGCUCCCUUAUGCAUUUCCCAGCAACCACCUAAUGGAAUUCCCCUAGGAGACCUCCCACCCUCUUCGUGUUCCUUUACACUUCACCUGCAAGGCCCUGUCACCCACGUUAACCAAGAAAUAGGAACAUACCAGCUUUGCAUUAUGAAAAGGCCCUCCCUCAUUACUAGCACUCUUAAGAAUGCCAAUAGCAAGUUUUGCCUAGGUAGGCAUUUACCCUGUCUCUCACUCCUUCCUUGGCUGCUCUCCCCUUGUUCAUCAGACUCUCCUCCAGACCCUCUUCCUGCCUGCUCAUACCUAACCUUGUCAAUGAAAGUGAACAGCUACUCAUAGAUACCAAAUGCUUUCUCAUAUACCAUGAAAGCAAGACCUCUCCUUUCACAUAAUUACCCUACCAAACCCCACUGCAACCUUUAACAGCCAUGGCUCUUGCUGGUUCCCUUGGUAUCUGGGUAUAAGACCCCAGCUCCCACAAAGCACUUUCUUACCUUUUCAUUUUACACUUCCAGUUCUACUUAAGCCAAGGACUUUUUUUCCUCUGUGGCUCUUCCACCUACAUCUGCUUUCCAACUAACUGGACAGGCAGCUUUACCUUAAUCUUUCUUACUCCCAAAAUCCAGUUUGCCAAUGAAAAUGAACACCUCCCUGUCCCCCUUGUAACUCCUACACAACAAAAAAAGAGUCAUUCCAUUCAUUUCCUUGCUUGUAGGAUUAGGAGUCUCCACUGCUGCAAUCGGGACAGGCAGGAAUGCAAGGUUCUUCAAACUGACUGUACCAUGGACUACACCAUAAUCAAGCCAUGGUGACCCCUGUGACCCACAUGUACACCUCCAGAUGGCCUCCUGGAGCCAGAGAAUCUGAGAUAACAAGAAAACCACAAAAGGAGAAGAAUAGCUAGCUCCUGCCUUGCCUGAUUAACCAACCUUGUGACAUUCCACCAUUGUUCUGCCUCAAUUGAUAAGUCGACCUUGUGACACUGGACCCUGUGGCCUGAUUAACUGACUUUGUGACAUUCUACCAUUGUUCCUGCCUCAACUGAUAAGUCAACCUUGUGACAUUGGACUCUGUGACCCACCCUCCCCCCCGCUACGCUUGCACAAAACCACCCUAAACUGUGACUUUCCAUUACUUACCCCCAACCCUAUAAAACCAGCAACUAUCCUGCCACCCUCUGCUGACUCAGCCCACUCACACCGGGGUGAAUAAACAGCCUUGUUGCUCACACAAA